rnacentral:rRNA from 1 species
UACGAAGGGGGCGAGCGUUGUUCGGAAUUACUGGGCGUAAAGGGCGCGCAGGCGGCUCUGAAAGUCAGAUGUGAAAGCCCCGGGCUUAACCUGGGAAUUGCAUUUGAUACUCUGGAGCUUGAGUACGGGAGAGGAGAGUGGAAUUCCCAGUGUAGAGGUGAAAUUCGUAGAUAUUGGGAAGAACACCGGCGGCGAAGGCGGCUCUCUGGACCGUAACUGACGCUGAGGCGCGAAAGCGUGGGGAGCAAACCGG